rnacentral:rRNA from 1 species
AAGGAUCAUUAUCGAGUUAUUGUGUGGGCUUGAUGCUGGCUUCAGAGAGGCAUGUGCGCGCCCCCGCUCAUCCUCUCAACCCCCUUUGUGUGCACUCUUCGAGUCCGUAGCCCCCCCUUCCCGGGGGGCCAGAUUCCCCCCCUUUACAUAAACUUUUUAAAAGUUAUAAUGGGAUGUAACCUUUGCGUAUAAUAUAUAUAAUGGCAUAUAACUUUCAACAACGGAUCUCUUGGCUCUUGCAUCGAUGAAGAACGCAGCGAAAUGCGAUAAGUAAUGUGAAUUGCAGAAUUCAGUGAAUCAUCGAAUCUUUGAACGCACCUUGCGCUCUUUGGAAUUCCGAAGAGCAUGCCUGUUUGAGUGUCAUGAUAAUUCUCAACUUCCCGUGGGAAGCUUGGACGUUGGGGGUUUGCAGGCGGCGGCCGGCUCCUCUUAAAUGCAACAAAUUUUAUAGCUAUAAAACAAUUUCCGAGUUGGAGGGGGUUCGUGGCGUGAUAACCUUUAAUCUACGCCCCGGUAAAGCCCUCUCUACCCGGAGUCCAGUACGCAUGGACUUUUAUUGAUCAGACCUCAAAUCAGGUAGGACUACCCGCUGAACUUAA